rnacentral:rRNA from 1 species
ACAGCAGUCGCCGCGGUAAUACGGAGGGUGCAAGCGUUAAUCGGAAUUACUGGGCGUAAAGCGCACGCAGGCGGUCUGACAAGUCAGAUGUGAAAUCCCCGGGCUUAACCUGGGAACUGCAUUUGAAACUGGCAGGCUAGAGUCUUGUAGAGGGGGGUAGAAUUCCAGGUGUAGCGGUGAAAUGCGUAGAGAUCUGGAGGAAUACCGGUGGCGAAGGCGGCCCCCUGGACAAAGACUGACGCUCAGGUGCGAAAGCGUGGGGAGCAAACAGGAUUAGAUACCCCGGUAGUCCCUGUCUCUUAUAA